GAUCCUGGCUCAGGAUGAACGCUGGCGGCGUGCUUAACACAUGCAAGUCGAACGGGAAACCUUUUAAUGAAGCUUCGGCAGAUUUAGCUGGUUUCUAGUGGCGGACGGGUGAGUAACGCGUGGGUAACCUGCCUUAUACAGGGGGAUAACAGUCAGAAAUGACUGCUAAUACCGCAUAAGCGCACAGGACUGCAUGGUCCGGUGUGAAAAACUCCGGUGGUAUAAGAUGGACCCGCGUCGGAUUAGCUUAGG
rnacentral:rRNA from 1 species